rnacentral:lncRNA from 1 species
CGCUGGUGCGCAGACGGAGGAGGUAAAACCGGUAGUUGGUGACCCUCCCGCCGAGGUCCUUCAAACAGCCGAGCCCGGGGGUGCAAGAUGGCUCCUGGAACAGCUCCUUGUUGCACAGUUGGAUCUUGAGAAACAGAAGAGAAAUGGAAGAGACUGGAGGAGAGUAAAGACGAUGGAUUGCGAAGAAACGUGAAGUAGAAGAAUGCUGGCAUCAGGGAGACGGUCAGAAAGACACAAACACAGAGACCUACGAGGCCCCCCACAACCCACCUUGAUGGGGGAGUAAAACUGUUGAAGGGUGUUUGUCAGUUUGUCAACCAGCGGCUUGCAUCCAGAGCCUGUCAGCGUCCAGUAGGUUGACUGUGUUGUGAAUCGUCGCAUCCGGGUGUGUGGGGCUUGUAUUUCAUCAUCCACCCCUUUCACACCAACAGUUCUACUCAUCGAGUCUCGGACGCCGAACCACAACAUCAGCAACACAGCCAGCGACUCUGUGGACAGACAUCCUGGAGAUGAGAGUUGAUUGAAUCGCCAAGCUGAUAUACUGAACCAACUGACACCCAGGGUAUCUUUGCCGCCGACAGUGAAACACCUGCUGAUCACUGAUGGAAAUUAAUGAAUAGACAGGCAGGUUCUGCUUCAAGGAGAAUAACUGUCAUAUUGAAAAUUCGAAUAUCAAAAGAAGAAAUCGAAAAGACACUAUGAGAAUAAAGGAGCUGUCCAAAUCCCAAUGUCUCAGAAAUGUCACGUGACACCGGCGUCAACGUCAGACCUCGGUCACUCUCCGUCACAGGUACUGCACGCGCUUGGUGACCUCCAGCAGCCCGCGUGACAGGGUCACGGCCGUUUCGUCAGCCACGUCGUUGUUGUCGUAGGCCAGCCCCAUCCCGCUGGGCAGACAGCUGACCGCAGGGUCGGGCCACGUGCAGUCCGAUGACGUCAGAGCGCCGCUGGUCACGCCUGACUGACACUCGUGCUGCAGGUUGACGUACACGUCCUGCAGGGCGUUCACAGUGCUGUUCAGUAGGGGCUUGCUCAGCUUGUUGCCCUUGCCGCUGUUACGCAGGUUGCGCAGGUAGUAACGGUAAUUCACCAACCGUUUCCCGAGGUCGGACAGACACUCAAACCCAGCGACACAAGAUGGCUCGUCGAAAAGAUCCUUUUGGCAAAGCUUGAUCUGGCAAGGAGAAGAAAAAAAAAAGAUGUUGAUGUCAGUGACAAUGAGGAUGACAAUGAGAACGGGGACAAUGAGACUCAAAUCCAGCUGCGACCAGUUACAGUAAAGUUAACGGUAUGUUAUAGAGAUCCUGGAGGAAAACAAACAACAGAGCGGCUUGCUUCCCGCGGAUGGAAGUGUCCAGAAGCUGGGUGUGCUGGUGAAACGCCGCAGCCGGACCAGCAGCCUCUCGAUCCCGUCAUCCUCCUCUUCCGCGCCAAGAUGGCGGGUGUGGGCGGGGCAGCAACAGAACAAGACGAGAAGCAGGGGAACCAACGUGGCUGCUGGAAAGAUAUGGAGUGGAGAUGCGGAGCCCUGCACGUUACCUUUGCUGUAGAGUCCGCUGUACGUCACCACAAACACGCAGUCCGAUGCACAGACUAUAAUGGAGGGCUUCUUUUCUACAACAUGUAUAAGAGGUCUCACCAUCGAUGAACAAAAACGACAACUGCACACGGUUACAAGUUCUCGCUGGAUUGCAAGAUUGCCAACCUGGAAUAACUGACAUACCCCAAAACAGCAUCUAUGAACAUUACAAUCAAUGUUUUAGGAUAAAGAAGUUUCUACCUGCCAAGACAGUGUAUUUACUUACCGCGAGAGCACCUAGAGACGCUGAAGAGCUCCUGACUCCACAGGCCUGCUGCUUCACACCUAUCUCCAGCACAAAGUCGGCGCGCAUCAAAG